rnacentral:rRNA from 1 species
CAGCAGCCGCGGUAAUACGGAGGGAGCUAGCGUUGUUCGGAAUUACUGGGCGUAAAGAGUACGUAGGCGGUGAUUCAAGUCAGAGGUGAAAGCCUGGAGCUCAACUCCAGAACUGCCUUUGAAACUAGAUCGCUAGAAUUAUGGAGAGGUUAGUGGAAUUCCGAGUGUAGAGGUGAAAUUCGUAGAUAUUCGGAGGAACACCGAUGGCGAAGGCAAUCCCCUGGACCUGUACUGACGCUCAUGCACGAAAGCGUGGGGAGCAAACGGGAUUAGAUACCCUGGUAGUCCACGCUGUAAACGAUGAGUGCUAGUUGUCGGCAUGCAUGCAUGUCGGUAACGCAGCUAACGCAUUAAGCACUCCGCCUGGGGAGUACGGUCGCAAGAUUAAAACUCAAAGGAAUUGACGG